CAAAUUUAUCAGUCUUUUAUUGCCUCUGGAUUUUGCACCGUAGUUAUAAAGCCUUUCUCUACUCCAAAGUUAAAGAGGGUUUCCCUCAUGUUUUCUUCUCAUGCUUGUACAGUUACAUUUAGAUCUCUGAUCCAUUUGCAGCUUAUUCUUUUCUCUGGUACAAGGAAUGGAUCUAAUUUUUUCCAAAUGGCUACCCAGUUGUCCCAAAACCAUUUUCUACAAAUGACCACCUUUGCUCCAGUAAUUUGAGAUACCUCCUUUAUCAUACUCUUGAUGUUUAUAUGCAGUUGGGUCUGUUUCUGGACUUUCCAGGCUAUUUUUUUGAUUUGUUUGUCUAUUCAUGUGCCAAUGCUACACUGUUUUAAUUACAGAGGCCUUGUGAUAUGUUUUAUUAUCUGGUUGGACUGGUUCUCCUCAGAACUCUUCCUUGUCAGUCUUUUCUUAACCAUUCUUGUGAGUUUAUUUUUUCCUGUGAAUUUUAAGAUCGUGUUUCAUCAGACAUUUAAUUCUUGAUUCUGUUUAUUCUGGAGGGUGUUCCGGGUCUCAUUGUUAGAGGCUCUCUCUCUAGGACUCUCCCUCCCACUGCCCCAUGAAAAUGGCUGCAGUCAUGAGAACCUGUUACUGACAGCAUACAUCACAGCUUGCAGUUCUGAAAGUUGGCAAGUCCAAGAUCAUGAUGCUGGCAGAUUUGGAGUCUGGUGAAGGCCUGGUUCCUGGUUCCUGGUUCUUUCUGUGUUCCCACAUGGCAGAAGGGGUAAGCUCUUUGGGAUCUCUUUAAUGAGGCUCCACCCUCAUGACCUAAUUACCUCAUCGUCAUCGGAAAGUACAUAAUUUCUUACCAUUGUGUAACAGCCACCAUUCUAAUUUUCAGGCCAAACGCUCGAGUUUUGUCAGUUAUCCUUCUUUGAAGAGUAGUUUUUGUCCUCCUACCUACAGUUUUACCAACUGUAGCUGAGAUCUAUUCAAAGAGAGAGAGGAAAAAGCAAUGAGGAUGUUUUGAAUUUUUCAAAAAGUUGGAGACCUGCUCCCGGGACCAUGCUUCUCACUAUAAAUCUUUCACAGGAUUCUGUCAGCUCCAUUGUCCACGGGUUGAUUACAAAACCCAUCAUUCUAACCGCAUCUUUCCUUGAAGUGAAUCCUCUGGUGAGUGGUGCCUGGGCUGUCCGUCUCCUUUAAAUCAGAGUUCUGGCAUCAGAAAUGGUGUGUCGCUUUUCCUUCCCUUUUAUUUUAUCCAGUCUUGGGCACAGUGUGUCACCUAAUUAGCACAACAAAUGUAAUUUUAUCUGACUUUCCCUCUUUUCAUGGCUCAUUAUUUUUCCUCCAGUGCAGGAAAUUGCUGUCCGCAUCAUUUUUUAUUGUUCCUCUUUCUCAUAGAGAAUUCCCCAUUUGAAAGACAUUUUCUUUAGUUUUCUUCUGUAAAAGCCCUCUCGUGACCUUUUUGCCUACCAACAAAGACCCAUUUCCUGACCAGCAUCAGCAAUCGAUUCCUUUACGAACGAUUUGGUUUAAGGUCAGUGCUGGCCUAUAAUAUAACUACUUAAAUAUAUGUAGCUCUAAAGAAAAGUGGAAAUGGUCUGUAAGAGUGCAAGUAAAAUAUCCCGUCUCAGAGAAAGCAGUUCAUUUUCUGAUGUUUUGAAAGCAGUAGCCAACGAUGUGAUGUUGUUUCUAAAGAAAACUCACAUCAUCCUGGAAGCCCCUGGCCACAUCCCUCAACCAGAAACUUCCUCCAUGUCUCGUGCUGUAUUAUUCAGUUCAGUUCCCAAUACGGAGUUUCAAGAGAGAUGCUAACAAAUUAGAAGAAGGUGUUCAAGAUGUAAGGGGCCUGGAAAAAAACAUCUUGUUGAGUGUAUAAAGAAGAUAGGGUGGGCAUGAUGCUCAUUGUCACAUCUUUGAAAGAGUAUUUUGUUACGAAAGACAGGCUUGUUCUGUUUUCCUGCAGAAACAUAAGUACCCAUGAGUAUAAAUCUAAACAAGGCAAACGAUGGCACGGACACCUCAUCAGUCGGUGAGUAGCUCAUCUCAAAGCAUGAAGUGAGAGGCUGGAUGAUCAUCUGCAGAACUGUUGUAAAGAGGUUUUGUAACCACACGACCAGGAACAGAAUUUGUCACCCCAAAAUAUGCCUUUUUGGCAUAAGAAUUAUUUUAGGCUGAUUAUUUUUAAGAAACAGCAGACACAGGGAAAUGCUCUGAAAACCUGGUAGGAGUUACCCAUUUGUAAGGGAAAUCUACAUUUAUAAGAGAAAUCUCCAUUUGUAAGGGUGGCUUCUUCUCUGUGCCAGGAAGGAGAAGAUGACUAACUGCCCAGAAACUCUCAUCAGUAGAAAACGCAAUGACUUAAAUCUACAUAACAACUUUACCCUUGUUUACUGUGCUGACCUCAUCUUAACAGAACGUUAAGACUAUUUUUCAGGGGUGGCCAGCCAGCCAGGAGUAUGCACAGAGAAGAGAAAAUUUUGAUCUGCCAAUUGAAACUCCUGCCAGAGCUUCUGCAUACCAGCCUACCCUCUCUAAUCCCUUAAACCCUACCCUAUACCCUGGAUCCGGGAGACAGGUUUGAGAGCAUGUCCUCCUAUCUCCUUGCCAAUCGAUUGCAUAAUAAACUUUCUUCCCUUAAA